GCGAUUGAAUGCUGUACCAUCCGAACAACGGUAACAGUGUAUCGUCUCUAUCUCUCUCUGUGUGUGUCUGUGUUCGUGUUGUUUUCCCUUUCGCAUUCAUCAACGAUUCCACUUUGGUUCAAUCACUGAAUUGAGAUGGUAUUUAUGUUGAUUGUGUAUAUGGAUGAGUACGGGCGUAUCGUUGUAUGGGUGUAGUUUAUGUUCGAUAUGAUUCGAAAUAACAAGCAAACAAUGCACUGUGGAAUAAAGAAUGAAAAAAAAGAAGUGUUGUGCGUGCGUUCUGUGCACAAUAGCAUACAGAGUCACACAUUCCUUCGCAUUCAACGCGCUGUCAUUCACAAACCUCUCGGAUAACUUGAAUUUUUUUAAGGAGAAUACAAAAAAAUAUAACAUCAACAUCAAACACACACUGUGAAAAGUUUUUAUCAAACAUUUAUCAAUCAAUUGAAUAAGUACUAAAACAAUGAAUAAUAUCAUUUGCAUCAACUUUGUUGUCAUUGUAUUUUUUUUAAGUACAAGUGAAAGUGAACAUGCCUACUUCAAUCCUUACAAUUGUACAAAUGCACCCCGGGGUCUUGUUUAUGUUUGUGGUACUGAUGGUAAGACCUAUACUAAUAGAUUCUUUUUGAGGUGUGCUCAACAUUCAGAGUACGGACAAAGAAUAAAUUUACAAGAAAGCCAUGCUUGGAUAUGUUAUAUAUGGGAAGAAUAUAUCUCAACCUCUACACUUUUAUUAAUUAUACUUGCUCUGGUUAUACUUGCUGUUUGCUUGUGCAUUUAUCGAAAGAAACGAAUCAGUCGAAAAAAAGAAGAACCAAACCAAAAUGUUUAGAGCUGUCGAAAUUUGAAAUAAAUGAGAACAAUUAAUGCUUUUAUUUGAGACAUCAAAAUGGAACUGAUUUAUUCUGAAUUCAUCAUUUGCUUUUAUACAUUUUUAAUAAGUGACUAUUCUAAUAAAAUAUAUAAAACAAUUCUCUAAGUACAAAGUCUAAAGUCCAACCUAAUAGUUAGUGCAAUACGACGUUUGAAAAUUAACACAUAACCAAAAUAUACGUUCUAAAAUAAAUCUAAUCUAACAAACUUUCUAAAUGUAACUCCUAAAAGUAGGCAAACGCAAAAGCAUUAUUCAUUUAUGAACAACCAAUGACAAAGCAUUGUUCAUUCAUGAACAAGAACAGAUUAAUGUCAAUGCUGAAUAAAAUGUAUAAGUAGCCCAUUGAUAAUUAUGAGCAAUUUCAUAAUAUUUGCAUACUGCGAGUACAGUUGUGUACUACUCUUCAAUGAAAAUACCUCUACAUCACAUUGAAUCGUAUAUAUUUUUAUUGUGAACCAUGGACGACAUAAAGAACAAAACCAUCCACGCCAUUCUGAACCUCACUUGGGUUGGGAAAAACAUGAUUUAAAUGCUGAAUAUAAAUAUAAGUACCAGAGAGAGAGAAAUCCAGAUGUUGCUCAAUCAAAUGAACUAUGUUCAUGAAAUAUAAAGCCACUUAAUUUGGAAUUUCGAUCAAAUAACCAAAAAUAAAAAAUAUUAAGAGUUGGGUUUUAAUGAAAA